UACGAAGGGGGCGAGCGUUGUUCGGAUUUACUGGGCGUAAAGAGCUCGUAGGCGGCCUGUUACGUCUGCUGUGAAAUCCCGGGGCUUAACCCCGGGCGUGCAGUGGAUACGGGCAGGCUGGAGGCAGGCAGGGGAGAACGGAAUUCCCGGUGUAGCGGUGAAAUGCGCAGAUAUCGGGAGGAACACCGGUGGCGAAGGCGGUUCUCUGGGCCUGUACUGACGCUCAUGCACGAAAGCGUGGGGAGCAAACAGG
rnacentral:rRNA from 1 species